CAAGCUCUAGGAGAGAGCUUGAAAGCAUCUAUUAUUGCCAUGGUGUUUCAGAAGACAAUAGUAUCUUCUCAUUGCAUAAAAGUUUAUCAUUGUUUAAUAAUAUCCCCUCUUCUCCUUCUCCUCCCCUCCCCUCCCUUUCUCACAAUAAUACAGGCAGCGACCAUUUUACAAGCAUCCAGUUGACACACAAUUAGAUUAAAGAACCAUUAGAAGGGAGAACAGGAGGGGCCUUGAAGGUACCCAUCAACAGUUUGUCAUAGUCUUCCUAUGAUGAGGUGUAUAAUGGACUAGCAGAGAGCACACGUUUGUUCAUGGAGAGUCAUAUUCUGGCCCACCAUCUUGAUUCAAAAUGGCACCCGGCAUCGAAAUAGCAACCAUCCAGAUGCCAAUGGGAUCUUGAAAGCAGGGAUCCAAGUGCAACAGUGCUCUGCCCACUUGUAAUUACCAGCAACUUCUACUCAGAGAGCUUUCUAUUUUGUGACCUGUGGGACUUGUCAAUGGUCAUGUGCAUGACCAAUUUGAAGAACGUUUUCCACAUGUGUACUUCCACAGGAUUGCUUGAGAUAUUGCAGUGAUAAGUGCUAUGAUAAUUCCUGGAGAGAAGCAGAGAGGACAAAGCAGAUAAAUGAAUGAAUGAAUGAAUGAAUG